rnacentral:rRNA from 1 species
AGUUUGAUCAUGGCUCAGAUUGAACGCUGGCGGCAGGCCUAACACAUGCAAGUCGAGCGGUUGAAGGAAGCUUGCUUCCUGAUUCAGCGGCGGACGGGUGAGUAAUGCCUAGGAAUCUGCCUGGUAGUGGGGGACAACGUUUCGAAAGGAACGCUAAUACCGCAUACGUCCUACGGGAGAAAGCAGGGGACCUUCGGGCCUUGCGCUAUCAGAUGAGCCUAGGUCGGAUUAGCUAGUUGGUGAGGUAAUGGCUCACCAAGGCGACGAUCCGUAACUGGUCUGAGAGGAUGAUCAGUCACACUGGAACUGAGACACGGUCCAGACUCCUACGGGAGGCAGCAGUGGGGAAUAUUGGACAAUGGGCGAAAGCCUGAUCCNNCCAUGCCGCGUGUGUGAAGAAGGUCUUCGGAUUGUAAAGCACUUUAAGUUGGGAGGAAGGGCAGUCAGCGAAUACCUUGCUGUCUUGACGUUACCGACAGAAUAAGCACCGGCUAACUCUGUGCCAGCAGCCGCGGUAAU